GCUCUCGUGGUGUAGUGGUCAGCACGCUCGACGCGUAUUCGAGAGGUCCGUGGUUCGACUCCCGGGGAGGGUA
rnacentral:tRNA from 1 species